rnacentral:rRNA from 1 species
GACGAACGCUGGCGGCGUGCUUAACACAUGCAAGUCGAACGGAAAGGCCCUGCUUUUGUGGGGUGCUCGAGUGGCGAACGGGUGAGUAACACGUGAGUAACCUGCCCUUGACUUUGGGAUAACUUCAGGAAACUGGGGCUAAUACCGGAUAGGAGCUCCUGCUGCAUGGUGGGGGUUGGAAAGUUUCGGCGGUUGGGGAUGGACUCGCGGCUUAUCAGCUUGUUGGUGGGGUAGUGGCUUACCAAGGCUUUGACGGGUAGCCGGCCUGAGAGGGUGACCGGCCACAUUGGGACUGGGAUACGGCCAGGACUCCUACGGGAGGCAGCAGUGGGGAAUAUUGCACAAGGGGCGGAAGCCGGAUGCAGCAACGCCGCGUGCGGGAUGACGGCCUUCGGGUUGUAAACCGCUUUCGCCUGUGACGAAGCGUGAGUGACGGUAAUGGGUAAAGAAGCACCGGCUAAUUACGU